AUGGGGUUCAGAGCUGUUUACUCCCAUCUGGUUUUCACCUUAACCAGCCUUACACUUGAAGACUCUGAAGAUCCGAUCCCGAACUGGCGAAUUAAGCAUCCUGAGAAUUUAUAUGACCUCAGUAACACUGCGUCAGACGGCUGUUUCGAUUACUUCUCAAACCUAACUACUGGACAAUUCAUAUGUUUAAUACAUACAGCAAAGAAUUUUGAAAUUUACAAUUUAAAAGUUAAGAAAGGAAGUUCCUCAUUUGACAAAUGGAUUGACAUUGCAACUGUUUGGCUUUCUCACUUUACAAAAACUGCAUUGAAUGGAAAAGCUAUAUGGGCGCUCUUUAACAGAAGACAAAAAUAUUUAAGGAAUUGCAAAAGUGCUUCAAUGCCAGAAAUGAUACAAAAGUUAAAGAAAAACUUAUAAGUUUUCUAAAUGACAAACUUGUUCUACCGGAAGAAAAGAAAGAAUCGUUUCAAAAUGAAAUUACUAAAGCUACAACAGACACAUCUUCUACCUGUGACUGUGUAAACAUUAAAGUGACGUCCAAUGAUACAUGUAGUGUUGAUUAUGCAAGAAUUGUACAAAGAAACAGACAUUUAGCGAAGAAUGUAUCAAAACAGGCAACAAUUUUAAAGUCACAUAGUGCCAAAAUAAAUUCAAUUAAGUUGCAAAACGAUAAUUUGAAAGCUGAACUAAGCAAAAAGAAAAAAAGGUUAAGUGGAGUUGGCGAGAAUGUAAUUUCGCAAAUUAAUAAAUUAAAAAAAAAGAGCCAAGAUCUUUCACAAAAAUCAAAAGAGCUGAAGUCAUUAAAAUUGACAUCUACCCAUCAACGAAAGCAGCUACUGACGAUGAAAAAAGAAAUUGGCCGUUUAUCAAAUGUUGUGAGCGAAUCACUUGAUCUUGCAGAUGAAAAGGAAAAUAAAACAUCAGAAGUUGAGCAAAAAUUGCAUUCGGUUAAUAAACUUUUAAAAAGUACUAAAAAGAAAGUCCAAAGGAGAAACCAAAAUAUAUCGGGACUGAAGUCUAAACUGCACGAAGUAUACGAAAAAUUUGAAACAGACACAGAAUCAAUGAAACUGUACUACAAUGGUAUAGUUUAAAACCUCAAAAAUCAAAAUCAGCUUAAUAGUGAAAUGCAAAAAAUGAAAAUUGAAGAAAUGAAAAAUUUAGAAACACAAUCUGGUGGAAAAUAUAAAGGAGAGGUCAGAUUAUUAUAUUAUGAUCUUCUAACAAAAGGUGUUUCUGCAAAUACAAUCCAGUCGGUUGUACGUACUGUAUUGGAAAAUAUGACGGAAUAUGAUACUACAAAGCUUAAACUACCUAGUCGAUCAACUGCGCAACGUAUGGUUUCCGAGGCAGGGGAGUUGGUAAAAAUCAGAACUGCAUAUGAAUUGUCUAAAGAAAAAACAAUGCUGUGUCAUCAGUCUGAUGGAACGACAAAAAAUCUUAUACAGUGGGGUGCACAUGCAGUAAAGCUCUUACCAAAUGACGAUCCAAAUAAUCCUAAAUUUUUUACUUUAACUGUAAGUCCAGUAAGUUCAGGAAAAGCUGAUGAUACUGUUCAGCAACUACAAGAUCAGUUAGAGGAAUCGAGUGGAUUAGCAAAUAAAUUAGGGUUAGACAAUGAUGAGAAUAGUUUUUCAAUAUCCCGUAUUGGUGCCAGAAUGUCUGAUCGGGUUGCAAACGAAAAAAGUGUUUCCAAACUCAUUAUGGAAAAAAAGACAAUGAAAAUCUAUAUACAUUUACCUGUGCUGCUCACAAAAUUAACAACAUGGCAUCAGCUAUAACCGAUGCAAGUGCAAAUGCUCUUUAUGUGAUAGACAAAAAGAUGAGAGGGAUGCACGGUGCUAAAAAACACAUCUAUGAAUGUAAUGAACUCCUUUGUGAACAUGCAAGAAAAGAGUACGGUCUAGGUGUAGAUUUUAAGGCCUAUACAUUGUGUAAUGACCAGAACUCUGGUUCUGAUUUGUUUCCACCAAUUGUAGGAAGUCGAUAUUUAAUAUUUUUACAAAAAGCAAUACCAACACUUUCUGCUCGAGAAAUUGUUUUAAUGUACUUGGAAGACAUAAAAGAUACUAAAGAAACCCCUGGACUUAACCGUUUAGAGUAUUCAGUACAGCAAUGUUAUUUAAAUACAACUAUGGUGACAGAGGAAAUAGCCUUUGCCUUAAUGUACUUCUAUGUUUGUUCACCUUUAAUGCAGAAAGCAAAAUCUACAAAGUCUCCUUUAGAGAUGAAUGGUUAUUAUGAAAUGACAGUAGCGAAAUUACAGGAAUGGAGUAUUGAUCCAAGCGGACUUAUAAAUGGAGAUGAUUUGUUGUGGGAAAACACAAAAGGACCGCAAGUUUACAUCCCGUUUAUGACAGAAAUUCACAAGAUGACAUCAGAAAACAGCAUCCUUGUUGAUACAUUGAAAGUGAUGGCAAAAGCUGGGAAAGAUAAACAGUCAGAGCUCAGACAUAAAUAAGUCUAAAUCUGCUUUUGACUCAUAGAGGUCUAAAUUUAAAGGUUUCAAGAUUUGCCUCCCUUUAAUUUAAGACAAAUUAUGACUUCAAUAAGUCAAUUAGUGUUAAGCAAGAAUUAUUUGACCUGAAUUAAAAAGUUGCAAAUAUUGACUCCUACAAGUUAAUAAGUUACCAAAAUUGGUCAACUUCAAGACCCAUGCAUAUUUAUAAAAAGGUCAUGCAUCUACAUGAAAUUAUGACAACAUUGAAAGUCAAUGAUUUGUCUUCUAAGGAAAAAUAUGCAUGAGAGCCUAAAAAAACGGAGAUUACGUUUAUUUUUACUUUACAAUGCAACCAUCUGUAAUCACACAAAAUGAGGAAAAUAAUUUAUGUUAAGUGAAAAUGUUCAAUUAAAUAAUUGAAUAUAGAUAACUCAGGUCCAUGUGAACUCUCAGACAGGUUAAGGGUGUCAUAGGUGGUGCACUUUGGCCACCAAUUAAAAUUUAGUCUUUUCAUAAACAUAAAUAGACCUAAACAAGUCUGUCAUUUUCUGACUUAAACAAGUCUGAAAAUGAAAGUACAUAUUUAUAAUAAAUACAUUUUUUGACUUAUGUAAGUCAAAAACAAUAAUCGACUUGUUUAUGUCUGAGCUCUGACUGAUAAACUUCACGAUCAUGCAGUUGAACACCUACCUGGUGGAGAGUAUGCACAGCCAACCCAAGAUAUGCUUAUGGCAGCACAAACUGUCGGUGAAGCAACAAAUGACCGAAUCGAGAGUAUGUUUGGAAUGUUGGACAGGCAAAUGAAACUAGCUCCAUCUUCAAACCGUAAAUGUUAACAGUCUUAUAUCUGCAAAGCAAGAUAAACCUGUACAGUGGUUAAAGACUUCAAAGCUCUCUAUUCAGAAUGUUUGCGAAAUAGCAAUGACAAAAGCAUCACUAAAACGUAAAAAAGAAGGAACACGAACAGAACAAAUCAAAAAGCAAUUUCUUGAAAAUAAAGAAGAGAGAGAACAAAAAAUAGCUAAACGAAGGAAGAUAAGACAAGAAAGAAAGCUUAGACUUGAUGAAAGUCUGAAAGAAGCUAAGCUUCACCUAAGCCGUAGAAAAAAAUCUGUUAACAACAUGAACAAGACACAACUGUUAAAGCAGGUUAAAAUAUGGAGAGCUUUAGCCGAGGUUCAGCAUGUGAAUUCUAAUGAUGUUUUGAAAAAUUUCAAUAAACUAAGUCCUACGGAACAGGUUCUUCAUCUCAAAACAAUCAUUAUAGCUAACAAACAAUUAAUAAUACAGGAAUGGGAAUCCUCUGAUGAAGAAACUUUGUCAAAUGUAAAAGGAGCUCAAAAACGACUCUUUCAAGAAAAUGAUGAGUGGAGUUCUUCAGAUGAAGAAACAUUGGAUAUGACAUGUGCUCUAGUUCAUUUGUAACUGUUUUAUUGUACUAGCUUAACUUUUUAGCUCACCUGGCCCGAAGGCGUCGUCGUCCGUCGUCGUUAGCUUUUUACAAAAAUCUUCUCUGAAACCACUGGGCCAAAUUUAACCAAACUUGGCCACAAUCAUCAUUAGGGUAUCUUGUUUAAAAAAUGUGUCCGAUGACCCCGCCAACCAACCAAGAUGGCUGCCAUGGCUAAAAAUAGAACAUAGGGGUAAAAUGUAGAUUUUGGCUUAUAUCUUAGAAACCAAAGCAUUUAGAGUAAAUCUGACAGCGGGUAAAACUGAUUAUCAGGUCAAGAUCUAUCUGCCCUGAAAUUUUCAGACAAAUCUGACAACCUGUUGUUGGGUUGCUGCCCCUGAAUUGGUAAUUUAAAGGAAAUUUUGCAGUUUUUAUACGACCGCAAAAAUUAAAAUUUUUUUGGUCGUAUAUUGGUAUGACGUUGGCGUCGUCGGCGUCGUCGUCGUCGUCGUCUGGCGUCGUCCGAAGACACAUUGGUUUUCGCACUCUAACUUAAGUUAAAGUGAAUGGAUCUCCAUGAAAUUUUACCAUAAGGUUCUAUACCACGAAAGGAAGGUUGGGAUUGAUUUUGGGGGUUAUGGUACCAACAGUUAAGGAAUUAGGGGCCAAAAAGGGGCCAAAAAUAAGCAUUUUUGUAACUUCCAGACAAUAACUUGUGUGUAAGUGUAUGGAUCUCUCUGACAUUAUACCACAAGGUUCCAUAUCACAAAGGGAAGGCUGUAAUUGAUUUUGGGGGUAAUUGCCUCAAAAUAUUAGGAAUUAGGGGCCAAAAAAGGAGCAAAAAACAAGCAUUUUUCUAGUUUCAUGACAAUAACUUGUGUGUAAGUGUAUGGAUCUUUCUGAAAUUGUACUACAAGGUUCCAUAUCACAAAGGGAAAGCUGGGUUUGAGUUUGGGGGUAAUUGCCCUAAACGUUUAGGAAUUUGGGGCCAAAAAGGGGCCAAAAAACGAGCAUUUUUCUAGUUUCCAGACAAUAACUUGUGUUCAAGUGUAUGGAUCUCUCUGAAAUUGUACUGCAAGGUACCAUACCACAAAGGGAAGGCUUGGAUUGAGUUUGGGGGUGAUGAAUCAUAAGGGGGGUUCAAAAAAUUUGGGGGGGGGAUUUUUUUUUUUUUUCUUUUUUUUUCUUUUUUUCCUUUUUUUUUUCAUUUAAAAUUUUCCAUUUUAAGUUGGUUAUUUCUGAUUUAUAUUUAAAAGCAAAUAAUAAUGAUAUGGUAGGAGAUACACACCAAACAGGAUGUGUAAAUUAUUAUAUAAUAAGUAUUGUGCAAUAGCAAGAAAUUUUCAAUUGCACAGUAUUGCACAAUAGCAAGAAAUCUUCAAUUGCACAGUAUUGCGCAAUAGCAAGAAAUCUUCAAUUGCACAGUAUUGCGCAAUAGCAAGAAAUAUCCAAUAGCACAAUAUUGCGCAAUAGCAAGAAAUUGUCAAUUGUACAGUAUUGCGCAAUAACAAGAAAUAUUCAAUUGCACAGUAUUGUGCAAAAGAAGAUACUUCGUAUAAAUUGCUUAUUUCUUGAUCAAUUUCAAUGGGGUUUUAUUCUUGAAUUCUUGGGGUUCUUUAAUAUGCUGAAUCUAACUGUGUAUUAAGUUUUUGGAUUUUGGGCCCCGUUUUUAAAUUGGUCCACAUUGAGGUCCAAAGGGUCCAAAAUUUAACUUUGUUUGAUUUCAUCAAAAAUUAAAUUAUUGGGGUUCUUUGAUAUGCCGAAUCUAACCGUGUAUUUAGAUUCUUCAUUUUUGGUUCCGUUUUCAAAUUGGUCUACAUUAGGGUCCAAAGGGUCCAAAAUUAAACUUAGUUUGAUUUUAACAAAAAUUGAAUUUUUAGGGUUCUUUGAUAUGCUGAAUCUAAACAUGUAUUUAGAUUUUUGAUUAUGGGCCCAGUUUUCAAGUUGGUCCAAAUCGGGGUCCAAAAUUAAACUUUGUUUGAUUUCAACAAAAAUUGAAUAUAUGGGGUUCUUUGAUAUGCUGAAUCUAACCAUGUAUUUAGAUUUUUGAUUUUUGGGCCCGUUAUCAACUUUGUCCACAUUGAGGUCAAAAGGGUCCAAAAUUAAACUUUUGUUUGAUUUCAUCAAAAAUUGAAUUCUUGGGGUUCUUUGAUAUGCUGAAUCUAACCAUGUAUUUAGAUUUUGGAUAUUGGACCAUAAUAGGUGAAUGUCCAAUUUAAAAUUUUUAAGUUCUUAGACUACAUUCAUUCUGUGUCAGAAACCUAUGCUGUGUCAAAUAUUUAAUCACAAUCCAAAUUCAGAGCUGUAUCAAGCUUGAAUGUUGUGUCCAUACUUGACCCAACUGUUCAGGGUUCCACCUCUGCG